CAAGGAACAAAGGGCUUGGAGGUGGUCCAUCCUUGGUCUCAAGUCUAGAUCAAGAGGUAUAAGACUAAACCUACACCUUGUUCUUUACUAAAAUGUUUUGAUGCAUUAUAUAUAAACCUAUGAACCUUGAAGGGGAUUUGCAUGACUAUAGCUUUGAUAUUAUUUGAUAAAUUGCUUCCGUUGCUCAUGUAUAUAAAUUUUGAAUUGUAUAUGCAUGCUAGUCAUUUAGAAAUCCCAUGUGCUAAACUCAUGAUUUUCCCUUCAAGUGGUAUCAGAGCCAAAAGUUUAUGUAUAAUGUGUCCUUUUGGAUUUUAUGCAUAUGGGUAUUAAUAAUAUGUAUGACAUAAUUAUUGCUUCAUUCA
rnacentral:lncRNA from 1 species